rnacentral:rRNA from 1 species
UAGUCCACGCCGUAAACGAUGGAUACUAGCUGUUUGUUGCAUUUAGGUGUGAUGAGUGGUUAAGCGAAAGUGAUAAGUAUCCCACCUGGGGAGUACGUUCGCAAGAAUGAAACUCAAAGGAAUUGACGGGGGCCCGCACAAGCGGUGGAGCAUGUGGUUUAAUUCGAUGAUACGCGAGGAACCUUACCAGGGCUUAAAUGCAUAAUGACAGGGGUGGAAACACCCUUUUCUUCGGACAUUUUGCAAGGUGCUGCAUGGUUGUCGUCAGCUCGUGCCGUGAGGUGUCAGGUUAAGUCCUAUAACGAGCGCAACCCCUGUUGUUAGUUGCCAGCAUGUAAUGGUGGGAACUCUAACAAGACUGCCGGUGCAAACCGUGAGGAAGGUGGGGAUGACGUCAAAUCAUCACGGCCCUUACGUCCUGGGCUACACACGUGCUACAAUGGCCGGUACAGAGAGCAGCCACUGGGUGACCAGGAGCGAAUCUAUAAAACCGGUCUCAGUUCGGAUC